rnacentral:tRNA from 1 species
GCCCAGAUGGUGGAAUGGUAGACACGGGGGACUCAAAAUCCCCUGCUCCUAUGAGCAUGCGGGUUCAAGUCCCGCUCUGGGCACCA